GACCCUGAGUGGAUGCCAGGUGCCCGCCAAAGCUGCUCUGUCACUCCCCUCCUCAGCUGGACAGAGGAGAGAAAAUACAAGUUAACAGUUUGU